CUUCCGCCGGCUUGAGCAGGAGCACUAUACCCGUCUCUCACCGCUUUUGUUCUGCAUUUCCCUUCCAGUCAGUGCUGCUGAAAGGAGGGGAUAAAGCCACUUUGGAAACCACAGGUAGCCCGGAAGCCACAUGCGAAGCGCCGUCUGCACAGAGGAUACGCGGUGCUCCGUAGUUACAUAAGAGGACUACUUUUUUUUCUAUCAUUGUUGGGCUUUUUCCACGCUUUUUUUUGUUGUUGUUGCGCCGAAACGGACUGAUUUCUCGUUCUAAACUCAAAAUGGAGAACGACGAUAAAUAUCUCCCCGAGCUGCUGGCGGAGAAGGACAGCCUCGACUCGUCGUUCACGCACGCCAUGAAACUUUUGAACGCAGAAAUUGAAAGAAUCCAGAAAGGCGAGACUAAAAAGGAGGCCGACGCGUACCUGGACCUUUUCACGACAAAGAACAUCAAACUCAAGGAACGAGUGCUCAUACCCGUCAAACAGUACCCGAAGUUCAAUUUCGUGGGGAAGAUUCUGGGACCACAGGGCAAUACCAUCAAACGUCUGCAGGAAGAGACAGGAGCCAAGAUCUCUGUGCUGGGCAAAGGAUCCAUGAGAGACAAAUCCAAGGAGGAGGGGCUGAGGAAAGGCGGCGAGCCCAAGUACGCCCACUUGUCUAUGGAGCUGCACGUGUUCAUCGAGGUGUUUGCCCCCGUGCCGGAGGCGUACCUGCGCAUGGCGCACGCCAUGGAGGAAGUCAAGAAGUUCCUGUUUCCCGAUAUGAUGGAUGAUAUCUGCCAAGAGCAGUUCCUGGAGAUGGGCUACCUGAAUGGAGGCCAGGAGCACGGAGCCAGAGGCCGAGGGGGCCCGCCGGUCAGGGGCCGCGGAGUCCCCCCUGGUGGAGCACACAGGGGCCGGGGAAUGCCCCCCCGCGGUGCUCCCGCCAGGGGAGGGGUGGCUCGAGGCGGCCCAGCCAGAGGUGGAGCAGUGAGGGGCGUCCCAGCAGGCCGAGGGGGACCCCCAGCAGCACCCGCCAGGGGAGCCUCGGCACCCCGUGCCAGGCCCCUGGCUGCCGGACCCCCCCAGAGGAUGGCACAUCCACCCCCCCACCAGCACACCCCCGCUGCAGCUGAUGAAAGCUACGAGGAAUAUGGCUACGACGAGAGCUACACAGACACGGCCUACGAGUCAUACGACAGCUAUUACAGUCAGCCGCAGGCAGAACCAGAAUACUACGACUACGGACACGGAGAGACCACAGAGUCAUACGAGUCAUACGGCCAGGAUGACUGGAAUGGGACCCAGCGCACCGCUUCAGGGAAGGCCCCUCCCCCCUCCAGAGGUGCCAAGACGCCUUACCGGGAGCACCCGUACCGACAGUACUGAAGCAGACUCGCCGCCCCUAACGCGUCACCCUGACUACCGCCUGUCUACCACGGCAGCUCUCGCUUUAAGCAGCCCGACAAAAUCAAAUUCUGAAAUGGCCUUUUUUAAACAACCUUCAGCAGUCAGAUGUAGGUGUUUUCCUUUUGUUUCUCAUCCAAAACCGCAUUUUUAAAUCAAAAUGAAUGUAUUGACGUCUGAAGACUUUAACCCUCCUAAAUGAUGUCUUGAUUGAUUAUCAAAAGAGCACAACUUAUUCUUUCUCUCUCUUUCUAUACUUUUUAAAAAGGACCCAGAGGUAAGACCUCUAAAAUAACCUGGAUAGCUUCCUAAUGUGUAUAGAGUUCUAAAGCAUUGAAUGCCUGGGUAUGUAUAAGACUUUUUCAAUCCUCUUACCUGUGGUCGUAACCGUUAAUGAGAAUUGCUUUUAUAGCUGCAAAUUAACUGAAUUCAAACCACCAUUCAGGUCUAGGCUUCAUUGUCAUGAAUGACGCUGGCGCGACGGCUACUUUAGUACAGAGUAAUGGCAGUGCAAUGGAGAGGAUGGUUAUAACCUAGACAACUCCACUGUAAAGGCACAGCUAUCGGUCACUGAGUGCCCGGAGACUGACAGUCUGCUGGAGUGAGACCAUGCAAACCUCAGUGAAGCCGUGCACGGGAGCAGCUCAUCACCACCGGAGGUGGUCAGACAAAAGCUCUCGGGGGGGAGGGGUUGGAGGGGUUGGGAGGCGGGUUGCGCCCCGAGGGCGCCCCCUGUUGAAAGGAGUGGCCCAGGGCCAAGUUCGGUCCCUGGCAGGGAGGGUCUGUGGCGGCCGGCUGCCAAGUGACCCACAGGAGCCACAGGAUCUGGCUCCGACUGCCACUGGAACCAGGACUCAGACUGCAGCUGGUCAGCCAGCUGGGAAUCCACAAAGAACAACAGAGACUCAUUUUAUGUGGACUAUUUUUUCCGACGUGUUCUACAUAUCAUGUCUAUAUUGAAUUGCAAUGCAUUAUGCUGGUGUAAUUAUUUUCUAACAUGGAAGACACUUGAAGUGUUUGCUGAUUGCAUGCCCCCCCCCCCCCCCCCCCAGCAAAUGUAAUUGUUAUAGCCUGAUUUCCAUAAAAGAGCACUCUUGUUAUAGCGGCUGUGAAAUUGUUUAAUUUCUAUUAACUCCUUGAAUUAGAAUGAGGGGAAAAACCAACGCAUUUUCAUUCUACAAGGCAAGCUGUUAUUCUCCCAUACAGGGAGAAUAGUGUGACAUCUGCAUUUCAAGUAUUUUAUUAUUAUUCUAAUUUUUUUUAACAUUAUGCCUGCUUGUUAUUUAGUAUCCAUGCCUUUAUUGCUGGGUGAAUUCCGACUCAGUGCUCGAGAGUUAAAGAUACCCGGAGAGAGUGGAUCACUAUCUCGCUACGGCCGAGUUCACCGCAAGCUCACACACACACACACACACACACACACACACACACACACACACACACACACACACACACACACCACACACACACACACACACACACUGCACGGGCUGUGCAGCCCCGAGGAUAUCAAAUGCUAAUGUAGCGGCCCAUUUUGCAUGUACACUUCCCACAAAAUGUGCAGCGCUUUCAUAACCAACGCUGGCCUGUUCUCAGCGCUCCAGCAUCCAAGUAUGAUAAUUCAGCGAGAUGGAGCCGGGAAGCAAAGCCGCAUGCGAGAAGGGGACAGAGGGUGAAGACAGACAUUACUAACUUCCCUCCAUCCAUCCAUCCAUCCAUCCAUCACGCCUCUGUUGAUUUGAUUCCCCUCCAUGCCAUUCUCUGCCAUUAUCACUGAUGGUUUUACGGCCGCCUGUGGUGCCGAGUUACAUUUAGAGGUCAAAACUGCACUUUCCCGUAUUAAAAAACAAGUUUCUCUGUCCCGAUUCGCUGGUCAGAGGCAGCAUUAGCCAAGUCAGAGGCUCCAUUUAGUUUAUUGAAAAAGCUAGCAGCUUAGAGGAUAGAGCAUUAGCUGUUAGGAUAGAAACCAUCAUUUGAGAUGAAAUGUCAACGGGCCAUAUCCAAAACAGAUCAUUUUUCAGUCUUUAUGUGCUAUUAUGUCUAAAAUAAUGAUUUCCGUGUCUCCCAUAAUCCGAUGAAAGAUAAGUGAUGGCGCGGAAGCCGUCUCUUUUUGUUUGAAUCGAUGAUCUGCCAUAAGCGCGAGGGUGGAAAAGAAAGUAAAUGUUGCUGUGCAAUGAUCAAUAAAAGUAAGACUUGAAUAUGA